CGGGGCGUAGCGCAGUCUGGUAGCGCAUCUGCUUUGGGAGCAGAGGGUCGGAGGUUCGAAUCCUCUCGCCCCGACCA
rnacentral:tRNA from 21 species